UACGUAGGUCCCGAGCGUUGUCCGGAUUUACUGGGCGUAAAGCGUGCGCAGGCGGCCCGUUAAGACAGGUGUGAAAUCCCUGGGCUCAACCUAGGAAUUGCGCUUGUGACUGGCGGGCUCGAGUACGGUAGAGGGGGGUGGAAUUCCUGGUGUAGCAGUGAAAUGCGUAGAGAUCAGGAGGAACACCGAUGGCGAAGGCAGCCCCCUGGGCCUGUACUGACGCUCAUGCACGAAAGCGUGGGGAGCAAACAGG
rnacentral:rRNA from 1 species